rnacentral:rRNA from 1 species
GACGAACGCUGGCGGCGUGCCUAAUACAUGCAAGUAGAACGCUGAAGAGAGGAGCUUGCUCUUCUUGGAUGAGUUGCGAACGGGUGAGUAACGCGUAGGUAACCUGCCUGGUAGCGGGGGAUAACUAUUGGAAACGAUAGCUAAUACCGCAUGAUAUUAAUUGUCGCAUGAUAAUUAAUUGAAAGAUGCAAUUGCAUCACUACCAGAUGGACCUGCGUUGUAUUAGCUAGUUGGUGAGGUAACGGCUCACCAAGGCGACGAUACAUAGCCGACCUGAGAGGGUGAUCGGCCACACUGGGACUGAGACACGGCCCAGACUCCUACGGGAGGCAGCAGUAGGGAAUCUUCGGCAAUGGGGGGAACCCUGACCGAGCAACGCCGCGUGAGUGAAGAAGGUUUUCGGAUCGUAAAGCUCUGUUGUAAGAGAAGAACGGGUGUGAGAGUGGAGAGUUCACACUGUGACGGUAUCUUACCAGAAAGGGACGGCU